rnacentral:rRNA from 1 species
GUUGCCCAAAAAAGAAUUUCAGUUCAACUUUAAGCUUACCAUCAGAACAACAAAUCAAAAUGUAAACUUAAAAUAUAGCCAAAAGAGGGACAGCUCUUUAGGAAAAGGAAAAAACCUUAAAUAGUGAAUAAACAACUACAAUCACUUAACCAUUGUAGGCUUAAAAGCAGCCAUCAAUAAAGAAAGCGUUCAAGCUCAACAUACAUACUUACACACACACUAAUUCCACAAACCUCAAUAAAUUCCUAUAUUACAAAUUGGGCUAAUCUAUAGAUCCAUAGAUGAAAUACUGUUAAUAUGAGUAACAAGAACCAAUUCUCCUAGCACAAGUGUAUGACAACCCGGAUAACCAUUGUCAAUUAUCGAAUCAUAGGUACUAACCCAACAAUAGAAUUACCUAUCCCUAACUCGUUAGCCCAACACAGGCGUGCUUUAAGGAAAGAUUAAAAAAAGUAAAAGGAACUCGGCAAACACGAACCCCGCCUGUUUACCAAAAACAUCACCUCUAGCAUAACAAGUAUUAGAGGCAUUGCCUGCCCAGUGACUAAAGUUAAACGGCCGCGGUAUCCUG